UACGGAGGGAGCGAGCGUUGUCCGAAGUUACUGGGCGUAAAGCGCGCGUAGGCGGGGAAUUAAGUGAGAAGUGAAAGGCUGGGGCUCAACCUCAUGCAGUGCUUCUCAUACUGGUUCUCUUGAGGGUGGUAGAGAGAAGUGGAAUGGCUGGUGUAGCGGUGAAAUGCGUAGAUAUCAGUCGGAACACCGGUGGCGAAGGCGGCUUCCUGGACCGACACUGACGCUGAUGCGCGAAAGCUAGGGGAGCAAACGGG
rnacentral:rRNA from 1 species